rnacentral:rRNA from 1 species
UGCCAGCCGCCGCGGUAAGACGGAGGAUGCAAGCGUUAAUCGGAAUUACUGGGCGUAAAGCGCACGUAGGCGGUGUGCAUAGUCAGAGGUGAAAGCCCGGGGCUCAACCCCGGAACUGCCUUUGAUACUUGCAUGCUAGAAUCUGUGAGGGGGUAGUGGAAUUCCUAGUGUAGAGGUGAAAUUCGUAGAUAUUAGGAAGAACACCAGUGGCGAAGGCGACUACCUGGCACAGUAUUGACGCUGAUGUGCGAAAGCGUGGGGAGCGAACAGGAUUAGAUA